GAUAAACGCUGGCGGCGCACAUAAGACAUGCAAGUCGAACGGAAGUCGUUAUAAAAAGGAUUGAAGAUUUAUCUGAUUGAGAUUUUAUAACAAUGGCUUUAGUGGCGGACUGGUGAGUAACGCGUGAGCAACCUGCCUACUAGAGGGGAAUAACAGUGAGAAAUCAUUGCUAAUACCGCAUAUGCCAUGAACAUCACAUGAUGAAAAUGGGAAAAGAGUAAUCUGCUAGUAGAUGGGCUCACGUCUGAUUAGAUAGUUGUGGGGUAACGGCCUACCAAGUCAACGAUCAGUAGCCGAACUGAGAGGUUGAACGGCCACAUUGGGACUGAGAUACGGCCCAGAC
rnacentral:rRNA from 1 species